rnacentral:rRNA from 1 species
CCUACGGGUGGCAGCAGUGGGGAAUAUUGCACAAUGGGGGAAACCCUGAUGCAGCGACGCCGCGUGAGUGAAGAAGUAAUUCGUUAUGUAAAGCUCUAUCAGCAGGGAAGAAAAUGACGGUACCUGAGUAAUAAACCCCGGCUAACUACGUGCCAGAAGCCGCGGUAAUACGGAGGGGGCAAGCGUUAUCCGGAUUUACUGGGGGUAAAGGGAGCGUAGACGGCAGUACAAGUCUGGAGUGAAAGGCGGGGCCUCAACCCCCGGAGUGCGCUGGAAAUAGUACGGCUGGAGUGCAGGAGAGGUAAGUGGAAUUCGUAGUGUAGCGGUGAAAUGCGUAGAUAUUAGGAGGAACACCAGUGGCGAAGGCGGCUUACUGGACUGUAACUGACGUUGAGGCUCGAAAGCGUGGGGAGCAAACAGGAUUAGAUACCCUUGUAGUC